UACGGAGGGUGCGAGCGUUAAUCGGAAUACUGGCGUAAAGCGCACGCAGGCGGUCUGUUAAGCAAGAUGUGAAAGCCCCGGGCCUCGAACCUGGGAACUGGCAUUUUGAACUUGGCAGACUAGAGUCUUGGAGAGGGGAGUGGAAUUCCAGGUGUAGCGGUGAAAUGCGUAGAGAUCUGGAGGAACAUCAGUGGCGAAGGCGGCUCCCUGGCCAAAGACUGACGCUCAUGUGCGAAAGUGUGGGUAGCGAACAGGAUUAGAUACCCGCGUAGUCC
rnacentral:rRNA from 1 species